rnacentral:rRNA from 1 species
AUUGAACGCUGGCGGCAGGCCUAACACAUGCAAGUCGAGCGAGCCGCGGGCGGGUGAGUAGUGUGUGGGGAUCUGCGCGAUAGAGGGGGAUAAAUACUGGAAACGGUGGAUAAUCCCGCAUCCUCUGGGGUGCCCACAUGUGGGAUUAGCUAGUAGGUGGGGUAAAGGCUCACCUAGGCGACGAUCUCUAGCUGGUCUGAGAGGAUGAUCAGCCACACUGGAACUGAGACACGGCCCAGACUCCUACGGGAGGCAGCAGUGGGGAAUAUUGCACAAUGGGCGCAAGCCUGAUGCAGCCAUGCCGCGUGUAUGAAGAAGGCCUUCGGGUUGUAAAGUACUUUCAGCGGGGAGGCGUUACCCGCAGAAGAAGCACCGGCUAACUCCGUGCCAGCAGCCGCGGUAAUUC